CUGACUUCAAGUGAUCUGUGUGCUUCGGCCUCCCAAAGUGCUGGGAUUACAAGCAUGAGCCACCACACCUGGCCUUGGGUUUAUUUCAGUUGAAUAUUCACCAUUUUCAUGGCUGUCCAAGUUUGAAAAUGUAGUCACCUUUAUUUCCUCUCUCUGAUUUCUUACAGCCUUACUGGCAUCAGUCUCUUUCUUUUUGUAUCAUUCACAUUCAUUGUCUUUCAUUUUCUCACAGCUACCAUGUGAGCCACAGGUUCUCACAGUAACUUGUACACAUAACCUGUCACAUCUGGAUUACUCUGGUUUGCCUGCCUUUUCUCACUCCUCUCUAACCUUCAUACUGAUUCCCUACAGCCUGGAUUUCCUUUAAGUAUCUAUAAUGACUCCUUUCAUAUCAGAUUCAGACUUCUGGUUUUGGUAUUCAAAGUGUCCAGAUCUGAAAACAACUUUGCUGUCUAAGCAUGGUUUACAUAUUUACUUUCAAUUUCCUAUUCCCUAACUGCCAUUCCCCAUUCAGGGGUACUAGACUAAACAAGAUUAAAUCUUUUUUUUUCUUGAUUUCCCUAAACCAGGAUGUAUAAUGGUCAUUUCAUAUGAUUCUAUUUUGGUAGCAUUAUUUGACAUAUGAGAAAUGCAAAGCAACAGAGACAGAGUGAUGCAAGCCAAUGGCACGCCUUUGUGCUGCAGAUAAAGAAAUUGAGGCAGACAGAGGUUAGAGGAUUUGAACUGAUGUUGCCAGGACUUGAAACCAGACAGUAGCUUAUGCUAGAGUCUGUGUUCUUGGCUACCAUACUAUCUGCUGUUCUGCUGAUGACCUGGGGAAAGCCUCAUUCACUGGCAAAAGAGAACAAAGGACCAUGGAAUGUGGAACCUUACCCAGCCUGCUGCUCAGGAGGCGAUUGCUCAAGGCUGUCUUAUGCAGAGGGGUCAACAGUUGACCCACGAACCAUUUAAACUGGAAGGAAGAAUUAACCAAUACCCUGAGAGAUUGGCUACAACUACUUUUCCCUGAAAGUUAGAGUGCAGAGUGCAGGAGAGGAAGGCCAUUUACUAAUUUUCCUGUUUCCUUCACCAGUCUUCUACCUCUCCGUAGCUAAGGUCCUUCACUCAAUAUACUCAAGUCAUCUCUGCUAUGACUGCAUUCCCACAUGCCACGGCAUAUAAAAGCCUGUGAAGAAAAAACCAACACCGAGAAUUUUUUCCAUCCCUCACUUUCCUUUGAGAACUCAACAACCCAAGCAACCUUGACCUUUUCCCAAAUACCAUUUAGGAGAAGUCACUGGCAGUUUAAGAAAAAGAUUUUUUUAAAAAGUUUCAGGGUGAGACAUCUUCCAACAUAAACUUUAAACUUCAUUCUUAGCAUCAAAGCAGCAAUAUUUUUGUGGAAUUGCCUUCAAGCAAAUGCUUAUAGAUGCAACUGGAGUCAGCAGGAAACCUUCUAUGAUGCUUCAAUCAUUCCCAAGGAGAAAGAUACUGGAAAAUGUGAUCUGAAGUGUAAAUUUAUAGAGCAAGGUCAUAACCGACAGUUAAUAUGCUUAUAGGUGGAAGAAACAUGUUUUGAGUCUCAGAUGAGACUUGCGGCUUUGGACUUUGAGUUCACACUGGAACCAAUUAAGAUUUUGAGGAAGACUAUUAGGAAGGGAUGAUUGUAUUUUGCAUUGCGAGAAGGACAUGAGAUUUGGGGGACGAGGGGCAGAAUGAUAUACUUUGGAUGUUUGUCUUCUCCAAAUCUCAUGUUGAAAUGUGAUCCCCAAUGUUGGAAGUGAAGCCUGGUGGGAGGUGUUAGGGUCAUGGGGGCAGAUCUCUCAUGAAUGGCUUGGUGCCUACCCCACAAUAAUGAGUGGCAAUGAGUUUACAUGAGGUCUGGUUGUUUAAAAAGAGUGUGGCAUCUCUCCCCUCUCUCUCUCGUUGUCUUUCUCACCACGUGAUAGGUCUGCACCCCCUUGGCCUUCUGCCAUGAUUGGAAGCUUCCUUAGGCCCUUACCAGAAGCAGAUGCUAGCAUCAUACUUCCUGUACAGCCUGCAGAACUGUGAACCAAAAUAAACCUCUUUUCUUUAUAAAUUA